UACGUAGGGUGCAAGCGUUGUCCGGAAUUAUUGGGCGUAAAGAGCUCGUAGGCGGUUUGUCGCGUCUGCUGUGAAAACUCGGGGCUUAACUCCGGGCCUGCAGUGGGUACGGGGCAGACUAGAGUGCGGUAGGGGAGACUGGAAUUCCUGGUGUAGCGGUGAAAUGCGCAGAUAUCAGGAGGAACACCGAUGGCGAAGGCAGGCUCUGGGCCACUAACUG
rnacentral:rRNA from 1 species